rnacentral:rRNA from 1 species
UACGUAGGGGGCAAGCGUUGUCCGGAAUCAUUGGGCGUAAAGCGCGUGUAGGCGGUUCAGUAAGUCUGCUGUGAAAGUCCAGGGCUCAACCCUGGGAUGCCGGUGGAUACUGCUGGGCUAGAGUACGGAAGAGGCGAGUGGAAUUCCCGGUGUAGCGGUGAAAUGCGCAGAUAUCAGGAGGAACACCGGUGGCGAAGGCGGGUCUCUGGGCAGUUACUGACGCUGAGGAGCGAAAGCGUGGGAGCGAACAGG